AUCAGGCAGGAGGAGGGAGAGAGGAGAGAAGAGGAAUGAGACUGCCCAGGGGGAUGAAAUUCCAACAAAAUACCAUUUGGUGGCAGGAAUGUAGGAUUUUUCUGUUUGGAUCCUUGAAUGGAGAGUCUGACCAUGGCUUGCCAGAAUAAACCUCACCUAAGAGAAGGAGGACGAGUGGUUACGGAAUGAUAUAGGGUAGACAAGUCCCUACUUGGCUUCCAAAGUCCAGGUUACCCAUCUCUGGACCUAGAGUGUCUCAAUCUGACUGAUAAGGGGGCCGUUUAUUGAUUGCAUCAGGACCAUUUAUGACUGGCACAUUACAGAACUAGGUCGUCCUGAGGGUUUGAUGAGAUAAGGCGUGCACUUCGCUUUGCAGAGUGCCUGGCACAUCAUGGUUCAAAACAUGAGUCACCGUCAUCAUCGUCACCGUCAUCAUCGCCACCCUCAUCAUCACCCUCAUCCAUAGCUUUGGGAGAGGAAUCUGGAGCAAAAGUAGGAGGCAUCUGCGUACCUGAACCAUCAGCCACAGCAGUGCCAGGUUUAGCAAAUAAAAAUAUAAGCACAUUUACUCAU